AACGAACGUUAGCGGCGCGCCUAAUACAUGCAAGUCGUGCGAGAAAGGGCUUCGGCCCCGGUACAGCGGCGCACGGGUGAGUAACACGUAGGUAAUCUUCCCUCGAAUGGUGGAUAACCCUCCGAAAGGAGAGCUAAUACAGCAUAAGACCACGACCUCGUUGAGGUUGCGGCCCAAAGCAGGCCUCUACUUGUAAGCUUGCGUUUGAGGAUGAGCCUGCGGCCCAUCAGCUAGUUGGUAGGGUAAUGGCCUACCAAGGCAAAGACGGGUAGCUGGUCUGAGAGGAUGAACAGCCACACUGGAACUGAGACACGGUCCAGACUCCUACCGGGAGCAGCAGUAGGGAAUCUUGCGCAAUGGGCGAAAGCCUGACGCAGCGACGCCGCGUGGAGCGGAUG
rnacentral:rRNA from 1 species